UGUAGGUGAACCUGUAGCUGG
rnacentral:rRNA from 1 species